rnacentral:tRNA from 1 species
GUUAUUGUAGCUUACAACUAAAGCACGGCACUGAAAAUGCCGCGAUGGGUUAAUAAAAAUCCCCAAAAACA